AAUGCGAUAAGUAAUGUGAAUUGCAGAAUUCAGUGAAUCAUCGAAUCUUUGAACGCACCUUGCGCUCCUUGGUAUUCCUUGGAGCAUGUCUGUUUGAGUAUCAUGAAAUCUUCAAAGUAAAUCUUUUGUUAACUCAAUUGGUUUCUACUUUGGUAUUGGAGGUCUUUGCAGCUUCACACCUGCUCCUCUUUGUUCAUUAGCUGGAUCUCAGUGUUAUGCUUGGUUCCACUCGGCGUGAUAAGUUAUCUAUCGCUGAGGACACUGUAAAAGGUGGCCAAGGUAAAUGCAGAUGAACCGCUUCUAAUAGUCCAUUGACUUGGACAAUACUUUUAUGAUCUGAUCUCAAAUCAGGUAGGACUACCCGCUGAACUUAAGC
rnacentral:misc_RNA from 1 species